GUCGAACGAGAAAGUGGAGCAAUCCAUGAGUACAGUGGCGUACGGGUGAGUAACACGUGGGUAAUCUACCCUUUGGUGGGGAAUAACUCUGGGAAACUAGAGCUAAUACCGCAUAAUCCCGAGAGGGAAAAGCAGCAAUGCGCCGAAGGAGGAGCCCGCGGCCGAUUAGCUAGUUGGUAGGGUAAAAGCCUACCAAGGCUGAGAUCGGUAGCCGGCCUGAGAGGGCACACGGCCACACUGGCACUGAAACACGGGCCAGACUCCUACGGGAGGCAGCAGUGGGGAAUCUUGCACAAUGGGGGAAACCCUGAUGCAGCGACGCCGCGUGAGCGAUGAAGCCCUUCGGGGUGUAAAGCUCUUUCGGCAGGGAAGAUUAUGACGGUACCUGCAGAAGCAGCUGCGGCUAACUACGUGCCAGCAGCCGCGGUAAUACGUAGGCAGCAAGCGUUGUUCGGAGCUACUGGGCGUAAAGGGUGUGUAGGCGGCUUCCUAAGUUUGGUGUGAAAUCUCCCGGCUCAACCGGGAGGGUGCGCCGAAUACUGAGAGGCUAGAGUGCGGGAGAGGAAAGUGGAAUUCCUGGUGUAGCGGUGAAAUGCGUAGAUAUCAGGAGGAACACCGGUGGUGUAGACGGCUUUCUGGACCGUAACUGACGCUGAAACACGAAAGCGUGGGUAGCAAACAGGAUUAGAUACCCUGGUAGUCCACGCCCUAAACGAUGCAUAUUUGGUGUG
rnacentral:rRNA from 1 species